rnacentral:rRNA from 1 species
GACGAACGCUGGCGGCGUGCUUAACACAUGCAAGUCGAACGGUAAGGCCCUUCGGGGUACACGAGUGGCGAACGGGUGAGUAACACGUGGGUGAUCUGCCCUGCACUUCGGGAUAAGCCUGGGAAACUGGGUCUAAUACCGGAUAGGACCACUGCCUGCAUGGGUGGUGGUGGAAAGCUUUUGCGGUGUGGGAUGGGCCCGCGGCCUAUCAGCUUGUUGGUGGGGUGAUGGCCUACCAAGGCGACGACGGGCAGCCGGCCUGAGAGGGUGAACGGCCAGACUGGGACUGAGAUACGGCCCAGACUCCUACGGGAGGCAGCAGUGGGGAAUAUUGCACAAUGGGCGCAAGCCUGAUGCAGCGACGCCGCGUGAGGGAUGACGGCCUUCGGGUUGUAAACCUCUUUCAGCACCGACGAAGCGCAAGUGACGGUAGGUGCAGAAGAAGGACCGGCCAACUACGUGCCAGCCGCCGCGGUAA